rnacentral:rRNA from 1 species
AUUGAACGCUGGCGGUAUGCUUAACACAUGCAAGUCGAACGGAAACGAUGGAAGCCUGCUUCCAGGCGUCGAGUGGCGGACGGGUGAGUAACGCGUAGGAAUCUGCCCAGUAGUGGGGGACAACUCGGGGAAACCCGAGCUAAUACCGCAUAAUCCCUACGGGGAAAAGGAGGCCUCUUCUUGAAAGCUUUCGCUAUUGGAUGAGCCUGCGUGAGAUUAGCUAGUUGGUAGGGUAAAGGCCUACCAAGGCGACGAUCUCUAGCUGGUCUGAGAGGACGAUCAGCCACACUGGGACUGAGACACGGCCCAGACUCCUACGGGAGGCAGCAGUGGGGAAUAUUGGACAAUGGGGGCAACCCUGAUCCAGCAAUACCGCGUGUGUGAAGAAGGCCUUAGGGUUGUAAAGCACUUUCAGCAGUGAAGAAAAGCUUAAGGUUAAUACCCUUGAGUGUUGACGUUAACUGCACAAGAAGCACCGCUAACU